CUUCAAAAUGAAAAUGAAAAGAAAUUAUUCAUGAAAACUGUAGACCAUUGCUGUCAUGGAAGGGAUAGUCUCACACUUCAGAAGCACUAAAUCAGGAGUGUAGAAUCAGCACCUACAACUGCAAAGCUCUGGAUUGCAGAUGGGAAUAUGAAUUUAAUGACACAAUGAUUUAAUGAUUCAAAUGACCAUUGGUCAUGCUGCCUGGGAUGGAUAGAAGUUGGUAGCUGAACAACAUCUGAAGGGCCACAGGUCCUACUUCCCUCCCACGUUGUUAUGUAAAAUCUUUCGCAAGUAUUUCCCAUGCUGCCUAGGCAUGAGGGAGAGGGAGAUUUGCAUAAUUGUUAACAGCAUCAGUAAAUGCUGUUAAUAAUUAUUUAUAAUAGAAGCAAUGCUUGUUGCAGUUCUUGAGGUAGGGAAGAAAAGGAUUGUAGCCUUAGCAGGAACCUCCUGAAACAUUAUGAAAAUCAGAAUUAGAAAAUCAGCUGGCUAGUAGUGAUGGAUGUACAAGACAAAAUUAAAAGUGUCAUCCAGGCAGAAAAAUGAGGAUGUGCGUCCAUUUAAAAAACUGUUAAAUCUGGAGUACAGUAACUUGAAGAGAAUUUACUAAGAUUUUCAAUUUCUAUUAAAAUUCUGACAUUGUGAGCUCUUUGUACGUAUUCUUUUCUUACUUUGCUCUAGAUAACGUUAAAAAGAAGCCCAACAGUGUGUUAAGAAAUACUUUCAUCCCUGUCCUUCAAAUUUGCAAGAAGGGGAGGGGGAAGCAACCCUCUGCUCAUUAGAGGCGCUUAAUAUUUUUUUUGCAGCCUAGUUAAAAUAGUCUGAUAUCUCUAAGAGAGGUGGUCUUUUAUUCUGCAUGAAAGCAAUACUGUCCUUAAUGCUCUUGCAUGACAAUAAAAGUAUUGAAGCAUGCAGGCGCUAGACUGCCAUUAACUGUACAUAUUUUAGAAUAGCAUUGAACCUUUACAUAAUGCACCUGGAGAAAUAGUUUGAUUUUUGCGUAAAGGUAUACCAGUGCCAUUUUUAAUGGCCUUUGCUUUAUUUCUGUCGACAGCUUCCUUGCCACACUGCUGUUUGGCAUAUGCACAUGCUCAUGCAGAGAUCAGUGAAAUGACAGCUUCAUAUGUGUCUUUGGAAUAUGGGCCCAUUCAGAUGUGGUCCUGAAUAAAAGCACACCAAAAACACAUAACCAUUAUACAUCAAAUUGCUUGUUCCUUUUGUCUCUCUCCCCAAGUUAUAAUUGCUGGCAGUCUAGUGCAACAGACUGCUUGAGCAUAUUAGAGAAAAAAGGUUAAGAGCUGAUAAUUGUAUGGUUUGCCUUUUGGAAACUUCCACUUUCACAUUUUUUUAUUUAAAAAAUGUUAUUUUAUGUAUUCACAAUCCCAUUUUUCAAGUUCAGAGCUCCUGCGUUAAAGUUUCAAUCUCAGAAGUAUUUCUUUAUUAGAUUUAUAUUAUAUGCUGCCUUAUCAAGAAGCAUUUGUGGUUCUCUUCCCAGCCCUAUUUUACCCUCACAGCAAUCAUGUGAGGAAGGUUAAUCUGAGAUACGGUAACUGGCUCAAGGUCACCCAGUGAACUUUGUGUCAAAGGGAAUUUGAACUUUAGUGUGAUGCCACUGGAGUCCAACAACAAUCAAGAUUUUUAAGAUGAAGGCUGCAGAAUUUCCAGCUUAAGGAGUUAGGGCUCAAAAUCUGCAUUCGAUGGUGGUUUUGUCUUGAUUAGAACCCUUGCCCAUAAAAAAUGUCGCUGCUGCAGCUUUUUCUAGCAGGAAGAAAAGUAGUUGGAGAAACUUCUCUUGUUAAAUUCAUGUAUGUCAGGUUAUGAGCUACAAUGGGGGUGAUGUGGAAGUAGGGGUAAGUGGAACCCUAUCUUUGAACCAUGUUAUAAUCAUGGGGAAAAUCUGGGCUACAGAACCAGUGGUAUUCCAGUAUUUAGAACAGGAGUGGGAAACCAGUGGCACACUACAUGUUCUUGGACUACAAUUCCCAUCAUCCACAAACAGCAUGGCCAAUGGUCAGCAAUGAUGGGAAGUUGAUCUCCAUCCCAACUUUAGAAUACCCUCCUUUCACCAAUGCCACUUCCACCUGCUAUGGCAGAGUAAUGAACACCAGGGCCUCAUGCAAUCUGGUCCCAAAAGCAGGGCACAGUGACCCAACACAAAUGAUCAUAUGUACAAGCCCCAGCUUGACUGUUACCCCUCUUAUCUGUUGACAAGGUGUGAGGAGUGAAGAAUCGUUGCUGGGAAUAUGCAGUGUUGUUGCAUUGACAUGCCACAAAGCUGGCAUUGUACUUGUGCAGUGAAGGGAGAAUAUCUUGCAUAAUGUACCAAGGCACAUGAUUCUACCAAAGCCAAUCCCGUACUGGAAAGUUGUUUAAAUUUUACACUUUGAAAGUUGAAAGGAUUUGAGUGAGAAUGUAGCUUGUAGGGUGAGGCAAAAGGGUUGUUUACAGAUGUGCAAGACCCUGCCUAACUUCUAGCUGACUCGCCAUCUGUGAUCGCCAGGCAUCUUUGACAGAGUUUUCACAACAGUUGAAGUGUUGUUGUUCAGAAGGUGUGGUGCACAUUCCCUUCUCCCUACUAAGCAUAAUGAGAGAAAGAAGCACAUAGCCUGCCCUCCUCUUGAGUAGGUUUUUGGCAGUUACAGAAGGUAAAUUUAGUGCCUGGGUUUCAGGGGGCAGAGUGGAAUAUUCAGAACUCUAUACAGUAUGUCCUAAACACAUGACCAGGCAUGCUCAUUUGAAACAAAAGAACUUUGGCAUUACACAAAAGGACUUUUCUUUUCUUUUUUAACAGAAUAUUAAGCAUAUCAGAACACCUGAAGCAUUUUUCAGAUGGAAAAAAUGUUAUUUAAACUGUGGUUGGGAUUUUGUUCUGUUGAGCCUAAGGAACACCCUGCUUCUCCGAUCUGGGAGGAAUGACAAACUGUGCUAUGAUAGAUGGGAUGUAAGCUGGGAUAGACUUUCUUGGUGAGAGACAAUGUUAGCUUUGCUUUCUGCCUGGGGUAGGUACCAUUGCCCUCUCUCUGUUAUUGGACUCAAACUCCAAUCAUCACCAGCCAACAUCUGGAGAGCCACAAUUUCCCCAUCACUGCUUAAGUGGUCACUAACUUGGAAGUUGAUUACUAGGCAAUGGGGGCUUCAGGAUUCCAUAUGGUUUAUCAUUUUGCUUUUGAAUAGAAUAUCUAUGAAACAUGCAAGUAUAGGCAGGCUGGAGGCAGUAUCUUUCUGAAUACCAGUUGGUGAAAACUGCUGGAGGAGAGAAUGCACUUGUGUUUAGGCUCUGCUUGCUGGUUCCCCACAGGCAUCUGAUCAACCACUGAGAGAACAGGAAGCUGAAUUAGAUGAUCCAUUUGCCUCCUCUUCUUAUGUUCUGGUCUGGACCACCUUGACCGAUCCACCUCUUUUGUAAUCUGUGCAGCUGCUGUCCAUGAAUGGACACUUGACUGUGACCACUGGUGGUAAGAGGAACAGCUGUGGGGGAGAAGAAUUAACAACAACACCCUGCGCUUCCUGGUAAUUCUAACUGGCUUAUUGUACCACCUGCUGACAGAAGUGUCUGAGUAGAGGUGUUGCUGCACUCUGGGACUAGGACACCAGUAUUUCCUAUAGAUCUAUACUCUCUCUGUGGCUGUUCUUCCUAAAUGGAUACUGGACUGUUGCCAAUGCAAGAGGAAUGGGAACGGGAGAGAGGAAUCACUCAGUCUUGCAUUUGCUUUUGAUACUUACCUAGGAGGCUGGUUCUAGAGAACAGCAUUUGGGAAUUAUGUCUUGGCCCCUGGUAGUUAUCCUGUGUGGUGCCACGAGGCACUAUUUUGUCCCCAAUGCUACCUAACAGCCACAUGAAACCAUUGGGAGUGGUCAUUAUGAGAUCUGAAGCAAAGUGUCAACAAUAUGCUGAUGAUGUUCAGCUCUAUUUUUCUGUAACAUCUGGGCCAAGAGGCCUGGAUCCGGGACUGCACCUGAUUUAUACACUUCUGCCAAAGGAACAGGUACAUAGUUUGGAGUGGUCCUAUUUCCAUUGUUGUCACUGAAGGUCAAGUGACUUCAGUGGCUAGAAGUGUCUAUUGUUGUUUCUGGAGAGGGUAAACUGAACUAUUGUAAGGUACUUUAUUUGUGGUUGCCCUUAGGAUUGGUCUGGAAGCUGCAGCUAGUGCAGAAUACAACAGCUGUGUUGCUCAGUGGGCGUUUCUACUGUAUGCAUAUAACACAUAUACUUAAAAGAACUGCAGUGGCUGCUAGUUUGUUACUGAGACCAGUUUAAGGUUCUUUUAUCAGUUACAAAGACCAAAUAGUUCACCAGGUUACCUAAGAAAAUGCCUUCUCCUGUGUAUACCUGCUCUAGCACUCAGAUCUGCAGAGGAGGCUUGGUGUUCAUUGUAUGAUAGUACAGAAAAGUUCCUUCUUUGGGGCAGUGUCUACCCUAUGGAGUGACCUCCCUGUUGAAGAUGAGGCAGGCACCAACUGUUAUGGGCAUCUUGCAGGCCUUAAAAACUUACCUAUUUGCUCAGGCAUUCCCAGGCUGUUCACCCCAGUUUUUAGCGUAACUGAUGUCAUAUGUUUUAGGAUUCUGAGGGUGAAAGGCUCUAUAGAAAAAGUUUUAUAGUGAAAAAUAUUCCUAUAGACAAUUAUAAUUUGGUGUAGUGAAUGCAUGGAAGACUAGGCUAAGCAUUUCCAGUUUCGGAACACAAAUCAGUGCAGUAUCUCAACACAUUAAAAACAACAACCAAACAAAACAGCACACACCCCAUGUAUACACACAAUAUCCAAAAUGGACAUAUCCUAAAUGUACAAAAUCAUGGUGUUUUGACAGUGGGGAGAGGGUUGUUGGCUGUGUCUGCUCUGUUUAAAAGGCCUCAAACUAACCUCUCUUACAUAAUUGUUACCUAAUUGGAGCCAGCUGAAUUGUUGCUCCCUCCCCCCCAAGACGUUAUUAUCAGAACAUGAUACUUCAGGAUGAUUGCUCCCUAAGUACAAUUGGCAAAUUAUUUUCAGUCCUUACUUUGCAUAUCCUCCCUCCCCCCCCCCAAAAAAAAUGCGGUAGCAGAGGCCUGAGUAUUCACAAGCCUCCUUUUAGUCUUUGGAUGAUCAAACAGGGCUACAGCUUAUGUUGGGUUGGGAUAAGAGAGGCUUUCUUGUAUCUUGGCUUUGAGAGGGUGCAAAUCAAUAGAAAGUAACACAGGCCAGCUGAGUUCUGCCCUUUACCAAAGGAACACUUUGGAAGAGCUAGCAUGUCUACAUUUGAAAUGUUAUCAUCCUGAUACCGUUCCACAAACAUGCACCCCUCUGAAAUGGGUUCCAGCCUUCCAGAGGUGCGCCUGAGUACAAAGGAGCUUCUUCCAGAAAAUGAGAGAGCUUUAUUGAUUCUUAUAUUUGCUUUAAGCAAGGUGUACUACAUCAUGCCACAGUUCACCAGAACAGGUCUAGUUGAGGUUGAGAUCAAUAAAGUAACAAACCUAGCAUGACAAGUAGUUCCCCCUAUAGGAACCAUGACUUAAAGAGUCCUGGAUGGUUUCCCUUCUUUGGCCCAAUUUUUAAAAUGACACAUGCAUGCAUUUCAGGUUUUGCCUUUCACUGAAUGUGCAAUAAAAGGCAAGUAUCCAAAUGGAGAGGGAUGACAUUUUCUAGCUGUGGAAAGCAGUACCUGUGAGAAAAUAUGUUUCUCUAUUACUCAUAACUGAAGGAUUGGACUUGGAUCUUAAAAUUAGCCCACACCGGAGGUAGUGAAUAUCUGUAUCACAGUGCUUUAUACUGAACUCCCACAGAAUGGUGCUUAUCCAACUGAAGUGUGUUGUAUGAUUUAUUCAUUUAUAUUUAGGAAAAAAAUUAAUGAGUUUUCUAGGUUUUUAGCUGUUAUUUUUUAUUUUAUAUGGAUAUCAUUUGGACCCACUCUAUGUUUGUUAUUUGUUUUAAACUUUGUAAUGUUGCGUUUUAGAUUGUUGUGACCCAUCCUAGGACCUUAGGGCUAAUGAAUCAAGUUAAUAAUACUAAACAUAUAUUUUAAGACUGUGACAUCAUCAUAUUUUGCCUAGUAUUGAAUUUGUAAACAACUGAAAAGAUUGCUUAAUCGUUGAUAUCAGGCCAUCUUUUGAGAUCCCAGCUUAACUUGGAUUUUGUGUUUUUGUUUUCUUCUGUGGGAGGAGAAAAAUAAAGUAACAAUAAACCCAAGCUAUCUUCCUUUUCCUUUAAGGCUCAUCCUCUGUUAAGAGAACAGAACCAAUUCUGACCCCUCCCCGCACCAUGUUCACUCUAUAAAAGAAUGUAAGUUUCCCCACCCCUCCUCUCUCUUCUUCCCCGACCCCAUACCUAGUACAAAACUAAUGUCUCAUAUCAAAUGUAACUGAUUUGUAGAAAAUACUUUACAACCUGAAAAGGAGACAAUGCAUGUACUUUCGUAAACCAAGAAAAUCUUUAAUAAUUUUUUUUAAAGAACC
rnacentral:lncRNA from 1 species